UGCGUAGGCGGAAUGAUAAGUCAGAGGUGAAAUCUCCCGGCUCAACCGGGAAACUGCCUUUGAUACUGUCAUUCUUGAGUACAGUUGAAGUGGGCGGAAUACGUCAUGUAGCGGUGAAAUGCAUAGAUAUGACGUAGAACACCGAUAGCGAAGGCAGCUCACUAAGCUGUAACUGACGCUCAGGCACGAAAGCGUGGGGAGCAAACAGGAUUAGAUACCCUGGUAGUC
rnacentral:rRNA from 1 species